rnacentral:rRNA from 1 species
UACGGAGGGUGCGAGCGUUGUCCGGAAUCACUGGGCGUAAAGGGCGCGUAGGCGGCGUUUUAAGUCGGGGGUGAAAGCCUGUGGCUCAACCACAGAAUGGCCUUCGAUACUGGGACGCUUGAGUAUGGUAGAGGUUGGUGGAACUGCGAGUGUAGAGGUGAAAUUCGUAGAUAUUCGCAAGGACACCGGUGGCGAAGGCGGCCAACUGGACCAUUACUGACGCUGAGGCGCGAAAGCGUGGGGAGCAAACAGG